rnacentral:rRNA from 1 species
UACGUAGGGGGCAAGCGUUGUCCGGAUUUAUUGGGCGUAAAGAGCGUGUAGGCGGCCAGAUAGGUCGGUUGUGAAAACUGGAGGCUCAACCUCCAGACGUCGAUCGAAACCAUCUGGCUAGAGUCCGGAAGAGGAGAAUGGAAUUCCUGGUGUAGCGGUGAAAUGCGCAGAUAUCAGGAAGAACACCGGUGGCGAAGGCGGUGAGCUGGGCAGUUGCUGACACUGAGGCGCGACAGCGUGGGGAGCAAACAGG